UUGAGUGGAAGUAGAAAAUAGGAUGCAGUUUCUGAAAUAAUUGGUGUUGAUGUUUCUUGACCGAAUGAAUUUAGCUGCCAUGUCAUGGAAACAGAUGUUCGAGGACAACCGCAAGAUGGUGUAGGCAUUACUAAAGAACGUGUUUUAUCACAACGCCAUCGAAGCAACUGGGUACAUGCAGACGAAGAGGAUGAUGAAGGGGACGAGACUGAGUUAUAUGUCGAGUCAACACCACCGUACUUGUGAAGAAGGAAAGUCUAAACUCCGUAAAAGUUGGUUCAUGUCGAGUUUGCUAAAUGGUCAAAACAAGGGAUUUAAUGAGAAGAUGGGAAUGAUAUUAUUAUGGAUACUUUGCCUUCGGACUUACUGUGGAUUUAUGCUACUUUUUUUCC